CCUACGGGGAGCAGCAGUGGGGAAUAUUGCACAAUGGAGGAAACUCUGAUGCAGCAACGCCGCGUGAAGGAAGACGGUUUUCGGAUUGUUAACUUCUUUUCUUAUUGAAGAAUAAUGACGGUAGCUAAGGAGCAAGCCACGGCUAACUACGUGCCAGCAGCCGCGGUAAUACGCAGGUGGCAAGCGUUUUCCGGAAUUACUGGGUGUAAACGGAGCGCAGGCGGGAAGCCAAGUCAGCUGUGAAAACUACGGGCUUAACUUGUAGACUGCAGUUGAAACUGGUUUUUUUGAGUGAAGUAGAGGUUGGCGGAAUUCCGGGUGUAGCGGUGAAAUGCGUAGAUAUUAGGAGGAACACCGGUGGCGAAGGCGGCCAACUGGGCUUUAACUGACGCUGAGGCUCGAAAGUGUGGGGAGCAAACAGGAUUAGAUACCCUAGUAGUC
rnacentral:rRNA from 1 species